GACGAACGCUGGCGGCGUGCCUAAUACAUGCAAGUAGAACGCUGAAGAGAGGAGCUUGCUCUUCUUGGAUGAGUUGCGGACGGGUGAGUAACGCGUAGGUAACCUGCCUGGUAGCGGGGGAUAACUAUUGGAAACGAUAGCUAAUACCGCAUGAUAUUAAUUAUUGCAUGAUAAUUGAUUGAAAGAUGCAAUUGCAUCACUACCAGAUGGACCUGCGUUGUAUUAGCUAGUUGGUGAGGUAACGGCUCACCAAGGCGACGAUACAUAGCCGACCUGAGAGGGUGAUCGGCCACACUGGGACUGAGACACGGCCCAGACUCCUACGGGAGGCAGCAGUAGGGAAUCUUCGGCAAUGGGGGGAACCCUGACCGAGCAACGCCGCGUGAGUGAAGAAGGUUUUCGGAUCGUAAAGCUCUGUUGUAAGAGAAGAACGGGUGUGAGAGUGGAAAGUUCACACUGUGACGGUAUCUUACCAGAAAGGGACGGCUAACUACGUGCCAGCAGCCGCGGUAAUACGUAGGUCCCGAGCGUUGUCCGGAUUUAUUGGGCGUAAAGCGAGCGCAGGCGGUUAGAUAAGUCUGAAGUUAAAGGCUGUGGCUUAACCAUAGUAUGCUUUGGAAACUGUUUAACUUGAGUGCAGAAGGGGAGAGUGGAAUUCCAUGUGUAGCGGUGAAAUGCGUAGAUAUAUGGAGGAACACCGGUGGCGAAAGCGGCUCUCUGGUCUGUAACUGACGCUGAGGCUCGAAAGCGUGGGGAGCAAACAGG
rnacentral:rRNA from 1 species